ACACAGCUUGCAAAGAUGACAGAGAUUGAGGAACUUUGCUAUCAAUGAGGAAACUAGUAUAUUUUGAUGACCAAAAGAUUUCAACUGCCGAUCUCAAAUUAGGGGGAAUAUUUAGAAAAUUUUAAAAUUUUGUAAAUAGAGGUGUAGUUUAUUUGUACAUAAAGACUUACCUUGAUACCAAAUAAUGUUCUGACUUUGAUUCUGAGAGCGAACACUGCACACGGAAUAAGUGCCAUAAAAGGGGUUUCCCCUAACCUUGUUGCUAUUAUGUAUUUUAAGUACGGCCAGCAACAAACGUAACAGCAACCUGGAGAUACAGAAUAAAAGUGUUAACAUUGUU
rnacentral:sRNA from 1 species